UUCAUUUUUUUUGUGAGAGAAUAUCACUGAUUCCUUGCUAAUCCGAAAAAGAAAAAAAAAUCUUCAUCUGGAAUAAACUCAAUGCAUCCUCCUUAAAGUUUAGACAACAACAAUGAAUCAACCGCUUUCAACAACACAAAUUUUUCAACUUUGUACAAAAUUAAAAUCAAAAGCUUUCCAACAACACCACAAAAAUAUGGUGCACUUGGUUCAUUUCAUCAAAAUCUAUUUCAAGAAUAUUUUUGAACCCUUUUAACCACAACAAAUCAAUUUGAGCUCAAUUUUUUUUAUUCAAUUGCAAAUUCAAUUUAAAGCUUGGUCCUUUGCAUCAAGAUCCCGAAUGUCAUAUUUACCCAGAAUUGGUGGAUAUAAGUGAAUUAAUGAACGACGAAGGCUGGGAUAUUGAUAAAAUGCAACAGCUUUUGCCUGCAAGAAUAGUUGAGCAUAUUGGAAUGCAAGAGAACAAUUUCAUCCCCUCUAAUCUGUCUGAUAGACCAUGGUGGUUACUCAACAGUACAGGAAAGUUCAAAGUUAGCUCUGCUUGGGAGUUGCUAAGAAACAAGAAGGAAGUGAAUGUCUAUUAUAAUCUAAUUUGGGUGAAAAGGUUGCCUUUUAAAUUUGGCUUCCUAGCCUGGAUGAUUUUGGGAAAAAUUGUUACCUGUGGCUACUACUAUUGCUAAUUGGGAUAGGUCUGUUGAUCCUAAUUGUUUAUGUUGUACAGUACCUUUGCCUGAAACUGUACAACAUCUUUUCAUUGAUGGUGACAUGGCCAAAAAGGUAUGGAGUUAUUUUGCAAGUGCUGCUGGAAUUCAAGGUCCUUUCAUUCAAAUUAAGCAAACUGUACAGAAGUGGAGAGAUGUACAGGGUAACGAGGUGUUUAAAAAUGUUAUGGUUGAUGUCCCUAUCAUUAUUCUUUGGUUCCUAUGGAAAAGCAGAAAUACCAUUCUGCAUGGUGGAUUAUAUGCGUAUGAGAAAAUUAUUUUCGAUACUACUGAUACUAUUCAUAAGUUUAUUUAUACUAGAUUUUCUUGUUUUCAAGAGUUACCUAGAUAUUGGCCUCAUAUUGUGGAAAUUUUAGAAAGAUGGCAGCCCAGAUAUAGUUAUAAGAUGGUGAGAUGGUUGUACCCCCCUCCUGAUUGGUACAAGUGUAAUACAGAUGGUGCAUCCAAAGGUAAUCCUGGCCCUAGUUCAGCUGCUUUUUGUGUGAGAAACAGUGCUGGUGAUAUUAUAGGAGCAAAAGGGAGAAGUUUAUCGAUUUCAACCAACCUUAUGGCAGAAGUUGUGGCUAUAAGAGUGGGAAUUCACUAUUGCAUUGAAAGAAGUUUAUUGCCCCUAAUAGUAGAAAUCGAUUCUCUUUCAAUGACAAAAUUUAUUGAAGGGAUUUGGGAGGUCCCUUGGAGUGUGGUCAAGGAGGUUGAAGCAAUUAACAAGAUGAGGAAAAAUGUUCCUAUCCAAUUGAAACACACAUUGAGGGAAGGCAACACUCUGGCCGACUUUUUUGCUAACUUAGUUGUUAAUUUUGCAGGUACCUAUUUGGUGAAAAAAUUUCAGGAACUUCCUAUGAUGUGUGGUAUUAAUCUCUUUGAGAUUCAUCCUAUCAAGGGAGAACAUCUAGAAAGGAUUAGUGAGUGGUGAGUGAUCUUACAUCCUUUAAACAACAACGGAAAACUAUCUGGUUAAAAGCAUUUGUGCUGGAACUUAUAAAUUAUUUUUGAUGUGUGGUAUUAGUUUCUAUGAAGCGCAUUCCAUCAACGAUAACUAAUAAGGAAAAGCACCAUAUUUCCUACCUAAUAGCUUUCCAAAUGAAGAAAUAGUGUUAUUUGGAGUAAAGUUUCAACCCGAGAAUCGGUCCUUAACAACAUUUCUAGUGGUGUUUCAAAUCCACUACUGGUAGCGAAAGAAGUCAAUAAAUGGCGCAACUAUUUCAUUAUUUCAGAUGUAUAGAAAGAGCAACAAAUCGAAAUAAAGAACUGAGUCGAAGCUUACCUGAUCUGUAGUUGCUCCCUGUUGCUUCUAUAGUUGUUGUCUUCAGGUUGGCUUGUAGUGGUAGACAAAGAGAGAUCCGUGAAUAGUUCACCGGAGUUUGGCCGGCGCUUGGCCAGAGUAUACAUCUCCAAAGCUGCU
rnacentral:lncRNA from 1 species